rnacentral:rRNA from 1 species
UCUAGACUAUAAGCUUAUUAGAGGUCCAUCCUGCCCAGUGACAACUAAGUUAAACGGCCGCGGUAUCCUGACCGUGCUAAGGUAGCAUAAUCAUUUGCCUUUUAAUUGGAGGCUAGAAUGAAUGGACACACGAGAAUAAGGCUAUCUCAUUAAUAUUUAUAUAAAUUGACCUUUAGGUGAAGAGGCCUAAAUAACAUAAAAAGACGAAAAGACCCUUUGGCGCUUUACUUAUAUAUAUCCCUAUUACAAUAAAAUAUGUAAAAUGAUAUUAAAAGUUCAGUUGGGGCGACUUAGGGUUAUAAUAAAGCACCCUUUAUCUAAAAGGAAAUAUUCCUUAAUUUUGAUCCACUUUUGUGAAUAAAGAAAAAGCCACCCUAGGGAUAACAGGCUAAUCUUCCUCGCGAGUCCAUAUUAACAGGAAGGGUUGGCACCUCGAUGUUGGCUUAAGGUCUCUCCACGGUGCAGUCGCUGUGGUAG